rfam:Triticum aestivum genome assembly, contig: Triticum_aestivum_CS42_TGACv1_scaffold_223685_3B
GCACUACUCCCUCUGUUUGGAUUUACUCGUCCAAGAAAUGAAUGCAUCUAGAUGUAUUUUAGUUGUAUAGAUACAUUCAUUUUAAUCCAUUUUUUUGACGAGUAAUUCCGAACGAAGGGAGUACUUA